rfam:Pseudomonas fluorescens HK44 Contig15, whole genome shotgun sequence.
CUUUAUGGCGGCUGUGCGCGGGAGACCUUCGGGGUCUGCCGGGCUCGUUUACCCCGGUUUUCCAACCUGCGUACAGCUGCCACCCAU